rnacentral:rRNA from 1 species
UACGGGGGGAGCAAGCGUUGUUCGGAUUUACUGGGCGUAAAGGGCGCGUAGGCGGUCGUGACAAGUCACUUGUGAAAUCUCCGGGCUUAACUCGGAACGGUCAAGUGAUACUGUCGGACUAGAGUACAGAAGGGGCAACUGGAAUUCUCGGUGUAGCGGUGAAAUGCGUAGAUAUCGUCAAGAACACCGAUAGUGUAGACAGCUAACUAAGCUUUAACUGACGCUGAGGCACGAAAGUGUGGGGAUCAAACAGG